GGAUUACAGGCGUGAGCCACCGCGCCCCGCCUAACCAGCAGGUCCAAAGGUCCCAAGGAACAAGGUUGGAGACGACAGGGAAAAGAGGCUGGAUUUGUUCCUCCUUGAUAGACUGAACUGGAAGCAAAGGACACAGCCCUUCUCCACACAGCAGUUUCUCCUCUUUCCCUGGCCCUGCAGAAGGAAGAGGGGCUGUCCCCUCCUCAGCUAGCAGCACCUGAAAGGGAAACAGAGACAAGGUGAAAGGGAACUCUGGCUUCAGCCAACGGUCACCGGACAGGAUGCACAAAAAAAUCACAUAUUGGUACUGAUCCUCUUUGUGUCGUUUUAAAGUCUUAAAAUCUAUUAAAUAUGAGAAUACAAUAUA